GCCGGGCGUGAUGGCUCAUGCCUGUAAUCCCAGCACUUUGGGAGGCCGAGGUGGGUGGAUCACCUGAGGUCAGGAGUUUGAGACCAGCCUGGCCAACAUGGUGAAACCCCAUCUCUA
ensembl:misc_RNA Metazoa_SRP Metazoan signal recognition particle RNA